GAGAGAAGUCGGUGAGAGACAUCAGCACACAGUAGAAACAAAACUCAGAGAUGAUGUUCAUUUCAAACCAAAGUUUGCUUGUUAGGGUUGCAAAAUACUGGCAGUUUGCAGUUUAGGAGCUGGUGAAUUUGUAAAAACUGUACAAAUAUAAAAAAAAAAACAGCAACAGAUGCCCUAAAUCUGAAAUACAAAUAAAAAGGGCCACUGAUCCUUUCUUUUUAUCCUUUUAAGUAUCCAAGUGGAUAAUGAAAAUUGGGAGCACAUACAAAAAAACAGAAAAGAAGUGAAACAGCUUCAGAUCAAGAUGAAGGAUUUUCGAUAGUGUGGAGAAGAGACCCUGAAAGAGGACCAAAGAAUCUAGACAAUCUAUCAACAUAAUGAUAAACCUAUGAUCCAACCAUGUGAGAUGUAACAGAAGAGAAAAUGCUGUCCUGUUUGCAAAUGGGUUGUACAAAGUAUUAACAGCAAGGAUGCAAAUAAUUCUGACAGUGAUAUCCCUGAAAAUACUGACAUGUAAACAACGGAGUGAGCAGCAGUGGUUUUAACUGCUGGGAUUGAAAAUGAUUCAAUGGGACUUUUUUGAAAGAGAAAAAAGACAAAUAUGAAUGUAGAAAAUAAAGCAGGAAAAUGACAAUUUUAUGUCUAAUUUUGAAAUUAGAGCUUAGAUCCAUCCAUCCAUUUUUCCAAGUUAUCCUGGACGGGGAUCAGGGCUGAAAUAUCCCCCUUCCUGCUCAUUCUGAGGAAUCCCAAGGUGCUUCCAGUCCAGCACAGAUUUAUAAUUUCUUUGGUGCCGUCUUGGUUUACUCUGUCUAUUCCCAGUGGAACAUGACUGGAAAAGCUUCAAAAGGAAAUAAUCCAGAAGGCAUCAUUCCAAGAUAAUAGAACCAUCUCACCUGACUCCUUUUGAUGCAUAGCAGCAACAACUUUACACCAGAAUAACUAAGCUCCUCCUCUAAGGCAAAUGCGACCCAUAUCUGUCAUUUUCACUGCAGUCUGAACGGCCCAAUUUUAAUUAUUUCAUCCCCCCCAAAAAAUCCAGUCGAUUCCACUUUAAUAUGUUGCAGUGAAUCUGAUUGUUUUCAAAGAGUCUGCGAGCUGAACGAUCAUGUCACAUUUUGUCCGGGUUUUAUGUCAUUUAUGUGAGACAUGCAUCAUGAUUUUGCACCAUAAGAAGCCAGUCGUGUUAAAUCAGGACGUAAACAAUGGCUGAAAAUGACUGUGACAUUAUAAAAGAAGUCUGUGUCACUGGAGCGAAUCAAAUCACAAUCCCACCACUUCUGGCUCUGACUACACAUCCAAACAGACUUCUCCACAAAAAUCCC